AUGAGCGAGGGGGCCGCGGCGGCGGCGGCGGCGGAGGAUGGGGCGGCGAGGGCGGGGCGGGCGUGGGCGUUCAGGCGGGAUCUGGCGGCGGGGGCGCUGAUGGGGGGCGCGGUGCACACCGUGGUGGCCCCCAUCGAGCGGGUCAAGCUGCUGCUGCAGACGCAGGACGGCAACGCCGCGCUGCUCGGGAGGUCGCGCCGCUUCCGGGGCUUCGCCGACUGCGUCGCCCGCACCGUGCGGGACGAGGGCGUGCUCUCGCUCUGGCGCGGCAACGGCACCGCCGUCAUCCGCUACUACCCCUCCGUCGCCCUCAACUUCUCCCUCAAGGAUCUGUACAGGAGCAUACUGAAAGACGCGGGAACCUCAGCAGACAAUAAGUUCGCAUCAAUUGCUCUCGCCAACUUCAUCGCUGGUGCCGCCGCCGGAUGCACGACUCUGGUCAUCAUUUACCCACUCGACAUAGCUCAUACCCGCCUUGCAGCCGACAUUGGCCAAACAGACGCCCGCCAGUUCAAGGGCAUCCGGCACUUCAUCCAAACCAUCUACAAGAAGAACGGCAUCCGCGGCAUCUACAGAGGGCUACCCGCAUCUCUCCACGGGAUGGUCGUGCACCGGGGCCUAUACUUUGGAGGCUUUGACACGGCAAAGGACACGCUGGUGCCGCUGGACUCCCCGCUGUGGCAGCGCUGGGUGGCGGCGCAGGCGGUCACCUCCACGGCGGGGCUCAUCUCGUACCCGCUGGACACGGUGCGGCGAAGGAUGAUGAUGCAGUCAGGGAUGGAGGUGCAGAUGUACAGCGGCACCCUCGACUGUUGGAGGAAGAUCUACAAGGCGGAGGGGGUCAAGUCGUUCUACCGGGGCGCGCUGUCGAACAUGUUCCGGAGCACCGGCGCGGCCGCCAUACUCGUGCUGUACGACGAGGUGAAGAAGUUCAUGAACGGGGGUAGGUUGUGA
rnacentral:rRNA from 1 species